GCUCGAUCAACAGCAGGUCUGCGAAGGGAUCCCCUUCGCUGCCCCACAGCCCACUCUGACGUUAGUAACAGAUGCAUCGGACCUGGGUUGGGGGGCGCAUCUGGGGGAACUGCGGACCCAAGGGUUGUGGUCCAGAGAAGACAGACUGCUUCACAUCAAUCUAAAGGAGCUAAGAGCGGUUCGCCUCGCCUGUCAGACCUUCCACGCCACCAUAGAAGGUCACAGCGUGGCAGUCCUGACGGACAGCACUACCGCCAUGUUCUAUAUAAACAAGCAGGGCGGGUCCCGGUCCUCUCCCCUCUGUCGCGAGGCACUCCAAUUAUGGGACUUUUGUAUAGCCCAUGCGAUCCACCUCAUCGCAACGUAUCUCCCGGGGAUCCAAAACGGCUUAGCGGACCGCCUCAGCUGAUCCUACCGAAUGCACGAAUGGGCGUUGAGGCGAGACGUCCUGCAUUCAAUCUUCCGGAGGUGGGGCUUUCCCCGGGUGAAUCUGUUCGCCACCAAGGACAACAGUCAAUGCCCUCAGUUCUGCUCAUUUCAGAACCUCAGCCCGGGAUCAUUAGCAGAUGCCUUCACGAUCCCAUGGGGAGGGAGCCUGAGGUAUGCCUUCCCUCCGUUCCCGCUCAUACACAAGGUCCUCCUCAAGACCCUCAGGGACAGGGCGUCAAUUAUACUCAUCGCCCCGGCCUGGCCACGCCAGCAUUGGUUCACGACCCUGCUGGAAUUGUCCAUAGCCAACCCGAUCACCCUCCCCCUCCAUCGCGACCUAGUAACACAAGACAAAGGUCGCCUGCUCCACCCGAACCUGUCAUCGCUACAUCUCACGGCGUGGUAUCUCUCUGGCUGAACGAUGCGGAACACAGGUGCUCUCACCAGGUUCAACAAAUCCUCCUUAGUAGUAGGAAGCCCUCCACAAGAGCGACCUACCUGGCUAAAUGGAAAAGGUUCUCCCACUGGUGCGAGCCUCAGCACAUACAGCCUUUACAGGCCUCAGUUCCGUCGAUCCUGGACUACUUACUACACCUCAAGCAUCAAGGGCUUGCGCCCGCCUCGAUUAGAGUGCAUUUAGCCGCCAUUU
rnacentral:lncRNA from 1 species